CCUACGGGCGGCAGCAGUAGGGAAUAUUGCUCAAUGGGGGAAACCCUGAAGCAGCAACGCCGCGUGGAGGAUGAAGGUCUUCGGAUUGUAAACUCCUUUUGUUAGAGAAGAUUAUGACGGUAUCUAACGAAUAAGCACCGGCUAACUCCGUGCCAGCAGCCGCGGUAAUACGGAGGGUGCAAGCGUUACUUGGAAUCACUGGGCGUAAAGUGUACGUAGGCGGGUGAAUGAGUCAGAUGUGAAAUCCUGUAGCUUAACUACAGAACUGCAUUUGAUACUGUUACUCUGGAGUGUGGGAGAGGUAGGUGGAAUUCUUGGUGUAGGGGUAAAAUGCGUAGAGAUCAAGAGGAAUACUCAUUGCGAAGGCGACCUGCUGGAACAUUACUGACGCUGAUGCACGAAAGCGUGGGGAGCAAACAGGAUUAGAUACCCCGGUAGUC
rnacentral:rRNA from 1 species